GACGAACGCUGGCGGCGUGCCUAAUACAUGCAAGUCGAACGCAGUGGGGACGGGGGAGUAACACGUGGGUAACCUCACAGCAGAGGGGAGGACACUUGGAAACAGGUGCUAAACCGAUACUGAUGGAUGAACCCGCGGUGCAUUAGCUAGUUGGUGGGGUAACGGCUAACCAAGGCCACGAUGCAUAACCGGCCUGAGAGGGUGAUCGGCCACACUGGAACUGAGACACGGCCCAGACUCCUACGGGAGGCAGCAGUAGGGAAUCUUCGGCAAUGGACGAAAGUCUGACCGAGCCACGCCGCGUGAGUGAAGAAGGUUUUCGGAUCGUAAAACUCUGUUGUUAGAGAAGCGGUAUCUAACCAGAAAGCAACGGCUAACUUCGUGCCAGCAGCCGCGGUAAUUC
rnacentral:rRNA from 1 species